UCAGCCUCUCUGGUAGGACUGUGGUAGGGGGCCUAGGAGGGAGCCCCUGCUUUCUGUCCACUUGCUAUGCUGCCCUGGGCAUCUCACUGCCCUCUCUGGACUUUGGUUUCCUCUUACCUGCUUUCAGGGUACUCCAUCCUUGAGACUCAUGGUUGAAUCUCCACGUCUGGCUCAGGCCCUAACAUGCAGUAGGCACCACUGGCUGCUUGCUGGUGAAGGAGAGGAGUCCCAACCCAGCCGGCCGGUGAGGAUCCUUUGGGGAGCUGGGGUGUUAGCAGGACUCCUGUUCACCAUUGGAUGGCUCCCUUGCAUGGUUCUUGGUUCACCUCAGCUAUCACCUUGAAGAGGCAUUGUCUCGCUGACCAGGUGGUUUCCAAGUAUCCUCACCCCCUUUCCUCAGUGUCCAACUGCUUUAUUUUCCUAGCAACACCCACCACUAUCUGAAGGUAACAUCUGCUGUUCUUGUUUAUGGCUUGUCUCCCCUAAAAUGCACAUGCCCCUCUCCGUAAGGGCCUCCCACCAUGCCUUGUGCCCUGGUGCAGAGCAGGGGCUCAGAGAAGACCACAAGCCACCGUCCGACGUGGGGUCGGGCGUUAGCUGGCUAAGGUACACAGGAAGUGGCCUAUGAAAAGCACGCAUGCUGCAGGGGACAGAGCACGAAAACCCUUUAUACUUUGAGGAACAAGUUGAUUUGGUUCAGUCCAUUCAUCCAUGGAAAUCACAAAAAGCAAACACAGACACACACACAUACGGACAUGUGCACAGAGACACACAGACACACGCACGUAGGGCCUGAAGCUCGCUUAGCUAUCUGCCUUCCUGUCCCUGAGCAAAGGCUGGGUGGGCCAGGCGGGGCAGCUCUGGGAAGGGCCCCGGGGCUGACAUGAGGCCUUGUCAGAGACCAGGGAAAGGUUCUGGAGGCUUUUUUCUCCCAAAGGCUAGAGCUCCAGUGAACCAAUGUACAAUAUGUCAGGUGGUAAUAAGAAUGAUGUCGAAAAAUAAAAUUGGUACAGCAGAGAGGGUGAGGUGAGGGCCAUUUAUACAGGGUGGUCAGGGAAGAGCCCUGAGAAAAUGACGUUUGGCUAGAAACGUGCACAUGAGGAGGUCUGGGAGCGUUUGGGCAGGGGACCAGAAGUGUCAAGGCCCUGGGGUGGGAGCGUGUCUGGCUGGUUCCUCAAGCUGGAAUUGCGUGAGGGGGAGAUAUCGGGGUGGGGCAGCCCACAUGAGGCCCGCAGCCGUAAGCGGACUAGGAACAGAGAGGGACAUGGUGGUCUCAGGACAGGGAAGACUGGCUUGGGGCUGUGUGGACGCAGCGACAGCGGUGCAGCCAGUUAAGGGUGGGAGGUGGCGGCUCGGACCCGGGCGGGGUGGGCCCCCCGGGUCUUGGCUCAGACGCGUCCUAAAGUAGAAUAAGGAUCCGCCGUGGGUAGGAGAAAGGGAGGGCCCCGGCGGGUCUGGGUGCUGUGGUUCAGGGGUCGCCAGUACACACAGAGCCACAGGUGGGUGUGCCCAAAGCACCGGGAGGGGAUGGGUGGCAGGGCCGAGACCUGGGCCCUGGGACCUCUGCCCCUGAGGCCAGGAGGCGUGUGGCAGGUCAGGUGAACAGAGGAGGAACACCACGACCCAGGAGGCCACGUGGGCCUGCCGCCAGUGCGGCCCACAGGCUGACCGCAGGUGGUCUUACCCCCACGGCCCUGGUGUGGGGGUGGUGAGGCUGGCAGGAGUCCUGCGUGACGCAGAGGGUGGUGGGGAUCAAGGGCAGACGUGACUUUCGAGGAGCUAUGUGUGCGAGAGAGUAGAGGAAUGGGCCGAUGGCUCGGGACAAGGCAGGACCAACCGCCCGUUCAGCCCAGGGAGGGCGCGUGGAUGCGGAGCUCUGGGUUUUCUAGGACGCCCCAGCGGGAGUAUGUCCCCAGGCUGCCGUCCAAGGAAAUCUGCCGGGGAGGCCCUGCAGGGGUGAGGGGAAGGUGAUGGGCUGCAGGGGUGGGGGUGGCAUUCCCAGUGGGUUGUGGAGGGAGGGGUUUUCCGGGCAGAGAGAUGGCAAGCGGCUGGGCAUGGGAUGUGGAUGCUGGGUCUUUGGGUUCUUUGUGGCUGGGUCCCUGGGGGCAGGCAGCAUGGGAGACGCCAUGGCUCUAAAGUGCUGGGGGCAGCCGGGACGUCUGCCGGUCUCUCCGCGGUCCUGGGUAAAGUGCAGAGGAGGCAAGCCUCGCACCCUGAACCUUGCCCGGAUGUGCGAGACUGCCAGCAGGCCUGGCUGAGGGGUCACCGUUCAUACACGGCUGCUUUCAGUGACUGGAGGGGAGGCCCGGGAGGAACGGCAGUGUAGGAGAGCAUAAUGCUGCCUGUUGAAUGAGGGACGGAGGACGGCGUGGAGGAGCCCAUACGGCCGUCAUCUGUGAUGUGGGGCCCCCACCACCAGGACGAGGGUGCGGAAGACGCUUUGGGGUUUGCAUAACAGGGUGAGGAGACAGAGAGGCUGGAGAAAGACCGUCCUGGGUGCUGCAGGCCCAUCCGCGGAGGAUGACUGCUUUUCCUGCCCAAAUGGCUGGAGAACAUUCCAGAAGGGACCAGGAGGGAGGCCCAGAGGGACCCACCCACUGGGUACUGGCACCUACCUCUCUCAGAUCCUUGGUGUUUUCCUAAGGAUUACUCAUCCCGGACCCAGCAGGGAGGCUCCUGGGGCUGUUUACUACAGGCCAGCCUUGGCCACAGGCUAUUCUGGGAGCUGGGGGUGGACAGGCAGCAGGGAGAAGGGGCAGGUCAUGGCCUCCACCGGUCACCUGUGUCCAGGCAUCAUGGGGUGUGCGGUUUGAACCCGUGUCUGCUGCCACCAGGGAACGUGGAACUGGACUUGGCGGGCUGGAGUGAUGGGGUAAUGGGCCCAGCAGAGCUUGCACGGGGAAGUUCCACCUCCCGAGAGAUGCCCCCACGGGAAAGGGUAAGUGGAGACCUGUGUCCUCUGAGCUGGCUUUCAGGGACUCCUGGGGUGGCUCGGAGCAGGGGAUGGGGAAGCGUCCAGUGGACAAGGCGGGGCCUCUGGCUCCUGUACUCUGGGCCACAAGGCCAUAGCCUGCGGGGUCUUUGGAAAAUAGAGCUCUUUGUUCUAAUUUAAAGCAACAGGUCAAGAAGCCAAAAAGGAACAAAUAAAACAGUAAAAAAGCUUGA